rnacentral:rRNA from 1 species
CACGUAGGAGGCGAGCGUUAUCCGGAUUUACUGGGUGUAAAGCGCGUGCAGGCGGUUGGCGAAGUUGGGUGUGAAAGCUCCUGGCUCAACUGGGAGAGGUCGCUCAAAACUGGCCGACUGGAGAGCAGUAGGGGAAGGUGGAAUUCCGGGAGUAGUGGUGAAAUGCGUAGAUAUCCGGAGGAACACCAGUGGCGAAAGCGGCCUUCUGGACUGCAUCUGACGCUCAGACGCGAAAGCUAGGGGAG